GACGAACGCUGGCGGUGUGCUUAACACAUGCAAGUCGAACGGUAAGGCCCUUUCGGGGGUACACGAGUGGCGAACGGGUGAGUAACACGUGAGUAACCUGCCCUCAUCUCUGGGAUAACAGUCGGAAACGGUUGCUAAUACUGGAUAUGAGCUUGCAAGGCAUCUUGUGGGUUGGAAAGAUUUUUUUUGGUUGGGGAUGGACUCGCGGCCUAUCAGCUUGUUGGUGAGGUAGUGGCUCACCAAGGCUUCGACGGGUAGCCGGCCUGAGAGGGCGACCGGCCACAUUGGGACUGAGAUGCGGCCCAAACUCCUACGGGAGGCAGCAGUGGGGAAUAUUGCACAAUGGACGGAAGUCUGAUGCAGCAACGCCGCGUGCGGGAUGACGGCCUUCGGGUUGUAAACCGCUUUCAAUUGUGACGAAGCUUUUUUGUGACGGUAGCAGUAGAAGAAGCACCGGCUAACUACGUG
rnacentral:rRNA from 1 species